UGUUUACAUCGCCCAUGACUUGGAACCCAAUGUUUUCUCUACAGACUUAUUCAGAGACACAGAAUUGAGAGCAGAGUGUCUUGUCAUCCAGUCCCACACCAGACAGCCCUGAGCAUGAGGUGCAUUGUGUCAGAGGUCAAUGUGGCACUUCUUCUGAGAAAGAGGGCAUUGGAGAAGUUGGUGUCCAGCACCAGGAGGUGUCACCCCCUGUGUUCUCAACAGACCUUACCAGUGAGACCGAAUCGAGAUCAGCGUGUCAAUCAUCCAGAGCCGCGCCAAACGACUCUGCUUGUGAGGUGAGUUUGAAUUUACCUUUGUUUUUAAAUUCACCAAUAGUUAGAAGUACUGUGAUGUUCCAUGGAACACAAUUUUCAGUGUUAUAGUAAACAUCUUG